GGUUAAGCGACUAAGCGUACACGGUGGAUGCCCUGGCAGUCAGAGGCGAUGAAGGGCGUGCUAAUCUGCGAUAAGCGCCGGUAAGGUGAUAUGAACCGUUAUAACCGGCGAUACCCGAAUGGGGAAACCCAGUGUGAUUCGUCACACUAUCAUUAACUGAAUCCAUAGGUUAAUGAGGCGAACCGGGGGAACUGAAACAUCUAAGUACCCCGAGGAAAAGAAAUCAACCGAGAUUCCCCCAGUAGCGGCGAGCGAACGGGGAGGAGCCCAGAGCCUGAAUCAGCAUGUGUGUUAGUGGAAGCGUCUGGAAAGGCGCGCGAUACAGGGUGACAGCCCCGUACACAAAAGCGCAUGUGCUGUGAGC
rnacentral:rRNA from 1 species